ACGCUCGACACCUACGGGAGCCAGCAGUGAGGAAUAUUGGUCAAUGGGCGCUAGCCUGAACCAGCCAAGUAGCGUGAAGGAUGAAGGCUCUAUGGGUCGUAAACUUCUUUUAUAUAAGAAUAAAGUGCAGUAUGUAUACUGUUUUGUAUGUAUUAUAUGAAUAAGGAUCGGCUAACUCCGUGCCUGCAGCCGCGGUAAUCUGAGCGGGCUGGCAAGGC
rnacentral:rRNA from 1 species